UACGUAGGGGGCAAGCGUUGUCCGGAUUUAUUGGGCGUAAAGAGCGUGUAGGCGGCUUGGUAGGUCCGCUGUGAAAACUCGAGGCUCAACCUCGAGAUGUCGGCGGAAACCACUUGGCUAGAGUCCGGAAGAGGAGAGUGGAAUUCCCGGUGUAGCGGUGAAAUGCGCAGAUAUCGGGAAGAACACCUAUGGCGAAGGCAGCUCUCUGGGGACGGUACUGACGCUGAGACGCGAAAGCGUGGGGAGCGAACAGG
rnacentral:rRNA from 1 species